rnacentral:rRNA from 1 species
CAGGACGACGCUGGCGGCGUGCCUAACACAUGCAAGUCGAACGGAGUAAGAAUUCGGGUUUUACUUAGUGGCGAACGGGUGAGUAACGCGUGAACAAACCUGACCUUUCUGAGGGGGGAUAACAACCCUGGAAACAAGUGCUAAUACCGCAUAAGACCACAGAGCCGCAUGGCCCAGGGGUCAAAGGAGUGAUCCGCAGGAAGAGGGGUUCGCGUCCCAUUAGCUAGUUGGCGGGCAACGGCCCACCAAGGCGACGAUGGGUAGCCGAGCUGAGAGGCUGAUCGGCCCACACUGGAACUGAGACACGGUCCAGACUCCUACGGGAGGCAGCAGGUGGGGAAUAUUGGGCAAUGGGCGCAAGCCUCGACCCAGCAACGCCGCGUGAGGGAAGAAGGUCUUCGGAUUAGUAAACCUCUGUCCUAUGUGACGAAGGAAGUGACGGUAGCAUAGGAGGAACGCCCCGGCUAACUACGUGCCAGCCGCUGC